rnacentral:rRNA from 1 species
AACGAACUUCCGUUAAUUGAUUAUGACGUGCUUGCACUGAAUGAGAUUUUAACACGAAGUGAGUGGCGGACGGGUGAGUAACACGUGGGUAACCUGCCCAGAAGCAGGGGAUAACACCUGGAAACAGAUGCUAAUACCGUAUAACAGAGAAAACCGCCUGGUUUUCUUUUAAAAGAUGGCUCUGCUAUCACUUCUGGAUGGACCCGCGGCGCAUUAGCUAGUUGGUGAGGUAACGGCUCACCAAGGCGAUGAUGCGUAGCCGACCUGAGAGGGUAAUCGGCCACAUUGGGACUGAGACACGGCCCAGACUCCUACGGGAGGCAGCAGUAGGGAAUCUUCCACAAUGGACGCAAGUCUGAUGGAGCAACGCCGCGUGAGUGAAGAAGGGUUUCGGCUCGUAAAGCUCUGUUGUUAAAGAAGAACGUGGGUGAGAGUAACUGUUCACCCAGUGACGGUAUUUAACCAGAAAGCCACGGCUAACUACGUGCCAGCAGCCGCGGUAAUACGUAGGUGGCAAGCGUUAUCCGGAUUUAUUGGGCGUAAAGCGAGCGCAGGCGGUCUUUUAAGUCUAAUGUGAAAGCCUUCGGCUCAACCGAAGAAGUGCAUUGGAAACUGGGAGACUUGAGUGCAGAAGAGGACAGUGGAACUCCAUGUGUAGCGGUGAAAUGCGUAGAUAUAUGGAAGAACACCAGUGGCGAAGGCGGCUGUCUGGUCUGUAACUGACGCUGAGGCUCGAAAGCAUGGGUAGCGAACAGGAUUAGAUACCCUGGUAGUCCAUGCCGUAAACGAUGAUUACUAAGUGUUGGAGGGUUUCCGCCCUUCAGUGCUGCAGCUAACGCAUUAAGUAAUCCGCCUGGGGAGUACGACCGCAAGGUUGAAACUCAAAAGAAUUGACGGGGGCCCGCACAAGCGGUGGAGCAUGUGGUUUAAUUCGAAGCUACGCGAAGAACCUUACCAGGUCUUGACAUCUUCUGCCAACCUAAGAGAUUAGGCGUUCCCUUCGGGGACAGAAUGACAGGUGGUGCAUGGUUGUCGUCAGCUCGUGUCGUGAGAUGUUGGGUUAAGUCCCGCAACGAGCGCAACCCUUAUUACUAGUUGCCAGCAUUCAGUUGGGCACUCUAGUGAGACUGCCGGUGACAAACCGGAGGAAGGUGGGGACGACGUCAAAUCAUCAUGCCCCUUAUGACCUGGGCUACACACGUGCUACAAUGGAUGGUACAACGAGUCGCGAAACCGCGAGGUUUAGCUAAUCUCUUAAAACCAUUCUCAGUUCGGACUGUAGGCUGCAACUCGCCUACACGAAGUCGGAAUCGCUAGUAAUCGCGGAUCAGCAUGCCGCGGUGAAUACGUUCCCGGGCCUUGUACACACCGCCCGUCACACCAUGAGAGUUUGUAACACCCAAAGCCGGUGGGGUAACCUUUUAGGA